rnacentral:rRNA from 1 species
AUUGAACGCUGGCGGCAGGCCUAACACAUGCAAGUCGAGCGAGCGGCGGACGGGUGAGUAAUGUCUGGGAAACUGCCUGAUGGAGGGGGAUAACUACUGGAAACGGUAGCUAAUACCGCAUACCAUCAGAUGUGCCCAGAUUGGCUUAGCUAUUAGGUGGGGUAACGGAUCACCUAGGCGACGAUCCCUAGUUGGUCUGAGAGUAUGACCAGCCACACUGGAACUGAGACACGGUCCCGACUCCUACGUGAGGCAGCAGUGGGGAAUAUUGCACAAUGGGCGCAAGCCUGAUGCAGCCAUGCCUCGUGUGUGAAGAAGGCCUUCGGGUUGUAAAGCACUUUCAGCGGGGAGGCGUUACCCGCAGAAGAAGCACCGGCUAACUCCGUGCCAGCAGCCGCGGUAAUAC